GAUAACUCAGAUUUAAACUGCUGUUUAUGCAUCAGCAAUAUCAUUACAUUUCAAAUAGAAAAUGAUAGAAAUAACUCUUUAUUACAGUAAUGAACAACAUAACAGAUGAAAUCUUGAACUAUGUUAUAUUACAGUAAUGGAUUCAUUGCAUUCAAAUAGUUUUAGAAUAUUAGUAACUGCAACAGCAAUUCAUACCAACAGUAAUGGUAAAUUGGAUCAAUAAAAUGCAUCUGGAGUCCAAAUCCAAUGAAGCUCAAAUGCGAUCCUUGUAUGAGAUCAUCCUUCAAAAUCACAAGGGUUUUCGUCCUAGGAUUCUGUUGUGACGUAUUCACACAUCGCCCCAUUGCAAAUGGGGACCCCUACUUUUCGCUUUCUAGGAUUAGUCCUCUUAGCUUAGUUCUAGGUUAGUGUUGAGUCUUUCGCUAUGAACCUUUGCAUUGAAGAGGUAUAGUGGGUCAAGAGGUCAGAAGUUGAUCAAGUUUGUCUCUUUAAGAUGAACCGAGGUUCGACACUCCUUUACCCAGCCAAGAUUUUAUCACUUCCACUUCUCCCAACACUGCCCGUGGGUGCCCAGGCCCGAUCACCCUCAUUUCCAUUCCUCGCCUUCGCCAUCACCAUUCCACCCUUUCAUCCUUCGGUCUCUCUCUUCAUUCCAUAACCCUCCAUCUUAACGGCUUUCCACUUCCCCUUUCCUACCAUCACCAUUUCACCCUACCCUUUCCACUUCCUUAUCCCUUACCUUCUAUCUCUCUUUAUCUUUUAUCACCUUCACCUAACAUACUCAUCUACUACCCUUCACCUACAUUUAGUCCUACCACUACACCCUCACCUCCCUUCACUUAACUUAAAGCUACCCUUCCAUCUUACACCCUCACCUCCCUUCACUAACUUCCUUUCCACCUUACCCCUAUCCCUAUUCUAUCCUAACAUCUCUCUUCCCCUCAUACCUUCUAUCUCACACUCCCUUUAGCCUACCAUCCACACUAACUUCCUUUCCCCCUUUAUUCCCCUAAAAUCACCUAUUCUAACCCACAUCCCAUAAGUCUCACUUCCUUUAUUUCCCUAAGCUUACCUCUACCCCUACCCCUAACCUUCUUACCCAUCUAUCCCACCUUUCCUUCCCCUAGUCUAAACCUCAUCCCAUUAUAACCUACACCCCUCUUCCCUUUCAUUACCCCCUCAUACCUCCCAUUACAUUUUACUCCCUAACCUUCCCUAACUCCAUCCACUACCUCUUAUACCUCCUAACCCGACGCCUCUCCUACUUCCAUCAUUUAUAUCCCUUAUGUCCCCCUUUCCUCCAACAUCCCAUUUCCCCUCUUUCUCCACGUAGCAGUUUCCCUUACCACUUCCCUCACAUUCCUCUCAUCACCUUUUUGGGCCCCACUUUAAACUCAAAAUGGAGAAUUGAAUUAACUUUUUAUUAAAGACUCUUGUUGGGACCCACCGAGCUUUAGCCUGGGGAUUUUAAGUGUUUUUAAAUACCAUGCCACAUAUUGCUUGGGCCCCACAAAUCUUAAAUGGAGAUUUUAAAAGCUUGUUUUAAGGCAUAGUAUUUCCUUUGACUUCCUUUACCACCGUAGCCUUGAUUGGGCCCCACCAAACUCUAAGGUGAAGGAAAAAGUUUUUGAGACAUUUUUUAUUUUUAUUUGUUUAAAAGGAAAGCAGCCACCUCAUCAUUUUAUUUGGCUUAAUAUUCCCAACACAUGCCACGAUGAAACACAAUGUAAGGUGUGGCACUUAGGAAAUAAACAAGCUGGCCUCUGAAGUGGAAGAUGUGUCACAUAAACAAAACAUUGCGGGGGAUUUAAAUUCAAAAUCAAAUCAUAAGAAGAGCAGGGCAGGCUCGAAUAUGAUCUACAGCAGAAGAGCAUAAAACUCUCAAUUUGAACAAGGCAGAGAUAAAGGUAGUUAACUUCCAGCAUGGGGGAAAGGUGAAUCAGACUUAUUUUGAAGGUGAAAAAAUAAAAGACUCGGGAAAAUCAGAGCAGAUCAGACCUAAAUUAAUUCAGGAAGAAGGAUUCAAAAGGAGCAGACCUAAUUAGAUGCAAGCCAUCAUAAUCAUCCAACACUAAAUUUACAAUCAGACCUGAUUUGAGGUCAAUUUCUGCUUGAGAUGAAGCAAAAGCAACUUGUUUGAAGCCUAGUUCUGUGCUUAAUUCAAGGUUGAGGCAGAAGGAUCUUAAUUUGAAUAACGAAGAGCAGAUCGGGGGUAUUUCUACAGACCUGGUCCAUAUUAGAUUCAGGUUGGAUUUCAUCAAUCUGAAAGUGACAGAUUUAUGGGAAAAGGAAACCUGAAUUUUACAAGGAAGAAGUGAAUUCAACACAAUCUAGGACAAUUUCAUUAAGCACAAUUGCUUGGGCAAAUGAGGACAAAAUCACCGGUUUUCCUGAGACUUGAGCGUGUAAAAUUGGAGAAAAUUGGAGACCUUGGGCUAGAUUAUCAAAUUUCGCUCAUGUACCUUCCAAAGGUACAGGAGCGAAUUCUUCUUAGGCUCUCUUUGUGCUUCUAAUUUGGAUGGAAAUCUCACUUUAGAGUGUUGAUUGGAGAGGAAUCAAAUUGAACUUACCUCUCAGGAGCGAAUUUUCUUAAAAACACCUUCUUGCUCCUUACUUGGAUCCAAACUCAUGCCUUCGAGGCUUGAUUGAAAGAAGCUUGAGUUAUGUGUGCCUUCAGAAGUGAAUUCAAACCAAGUUGAAUGAUGAAGUCCGGAGAAUUUGAACAA